CUGUGCAUGACUGCCAAGUGCCGUGGAGUUUGAACUCUUAACUGGGCCAGCAGGAGCCGAAAGAUGCAGACAGAUCCAAAGGUUCCAGUCCCUCUCUGUAGGAGUCAAAUCAAUGAGAUGAGGCUGAAUCAAUGAGAUGUCAGUGUUGUCUUAUCAUUGCCUGUUGCAGCUUGAUGAUGAUCUCACAGCUGCAGGUUAUAAUUUGACCAGACAAAAUAAUGGGGAGAAAAAACUUU
rnacentral:lncRNA from 1 species